rnacentral:rRNA from 1 species
AUUGAACGCUGGCGGCAGGCCUAACACAUGCAAGUCGAGCAGAUGAAGGGAGCUUGCUCCUGGAUUCAGCGGCGGACGGGUGAGUAAUGCCUAGGAAUCUGCCUGGUAGUGCGGGAUAACGUCCGGAAACGGGCGCUAAUACCGCAUACGUCCUGAGGGAGAGAGUGGGGGAUCUUCGGACCUCACGCUAUCAGAUGAGCCUAGGUCGGAUUAGCUAGUUGGUGGGGUAAAGGCCUACCAAGGCGACGAUCCGUAACUGGUCUGAGAGGAUGAUCAGUCACACUGGAACUGAGACACGGUCCAGACUCCUACGGGAGGCAGCAGUGGGGAAUAUUGGACAAUGGGCGAAAGCCUGAUCCAGCCAUGCCGCGUGUGUGAAGAAGGUCUUCGGAUUGUAAAGCACUUUAAGUUGGGAGGAAGGGCAGUAAGUUAAUACCUUGCUGUUUUGACGUUACCAACAGAAUAAGCACCGGCUAACUUCGUG